rnacentral:lncRNA from 1 species
UUCCAACGCAUUCAGUGACCUAUCAAUUAGGUUUACAGAGGGUCAAUUGAGAUCAAACCCUCAUAUUUCCAAAAAUUGCAUUUUGAACCCUAGGUUUCAUCUAUUGCAAGAAUUAACUAAAUUGAUCCUAGAUUCUAGCAUUUAUCCUCUAUUUAGCAUGCUAAGAUUCCAAAUAAACCAUUUCUAUGGAUUAUAAAUGAAGCUUUAAAGAUCUACCAUGAGAGGGUUCAAAAAGCUCAUUUCAAGCCCUAGGUUUACAACUAGGUAAGAAAUCAUUAAAUUAUCCAUAAUUUAAGCAACAAUCAUUUCUUUAGCAUGCUAGAAUAGCUCUAAAUCCAUUCUUGAAGCUUAAAACCCAAACUACAAAGAGAUACCAUUAAAGGGUUUUGGAGCUUACCUUCAAAGCUUGCUCUCCAAUGGCUAAUGAGGAAGAUGAAGAAGAUGACUUUCCUCGAAGCUUCCUUCUCCACCAAAACCCUCUUUUUGGGAGAGAUUUAGAGAGAGAAAGGGAGAGUUCUCUUCCUCCUCCUCCUUGCGUGUGUGUGGCGUGUGUGUGUGCACAUUCGGCUGAGGAGGAGAAGAAGAAAAGGGAUUAAAUCCCUUUUUACAAAUCAGCCCCUCAACUAUUACACUAUUCACCUCGGGCAGCAGUUUAGCAGUUCGGAGUCGUUGGAGCCCUUCUGAACGUCCAUUUGCACUCAAAUUUAACAGCAGGCUCGGUUUAACGUACUAAGUAAGAAUAUAUCAUAAGUUUUCAGUUUCGACCCCGCUUGGUCACCGAAAGCUGUACCGAACUGUAAUCUUUAUCAGAUGACUGUCGGAUUUUAUUUCUCACUCUACGGGUGUCAGAAUGGUAUGAAACUUUAAAUCUAACCUCAUAAAAAUAUUUCUGACAUAUCCUCCAGUUUUCAUAAUUUUCUGACACUGUGCAUUUUCUACUAAUUUAUCUGUCCCGUUUCUUACAGAAAAUUCUAAAUCUUCUGUUUUCGCUCCGAUUCCAGCACAGUUCGUCUCCAAUCUAUAUCCUACUUCUCUAAACCCAAUAAAAUAGUAUCUCAUACUAUUUUUGUAAGAAAGUGAAUCCUCGAAAUCCGAGGAUUAGACUUCCUUUGGAAUCGACUGAUCGUCGA